CAGGUUUCUGGUUUCAUCCCUUGCUACAUCACCUUGCUACAAGACAAUGAAAAAGGACUUGUGAAAUAUAAACAUAAAUUUUUCAAAGCCAUGGAUUUUUCUGUGUGAAAGGCUAAUAUCUGUCAAUAAAAGGCUGAUCUCUAUUCACCUUACAUGUGACACCAACUAGAGAAAAUAAACUGACAGAGUUGGUAAAUGGACCUUUACAGUCUCCUACCUUCCCCCAGUGCAAACAACCUCUGGAGUAUUUCCAAGUAUUUUAGUUUUUAUAUGGUGACACAUAGACCAAGGUGAUCUCUGAUAUUUUUUUCUUUGCUAUUACUGAGGCCUUUAGGUUAACAAACAAAAAAAGUACUAAUUGAUACUAAGGAGCAAGACAUAAUUUUCAGUAUUUAGUGUACUCCCCCAAAAUACACAGGCUGUUGCAGAACACUAAAGGAAGCUUUAACUUAGGUUUGGUAAUUUACAGAAACUUUCUGGUAUCUGUGCUGUGGAGACAACCCUGUAAGCAAAACGAGAGUCAGGUGUGCAAUGGCAGUACAGUGAAACAGACAAUUUUGCACAGAUGAAUUUAGUUAUUAAAAUAGUUGUACCUCUUCCAAGUCUGUCGGAGCUGUAACAGUUGCCAUCCUGCCCAGGCAGUUGUUUUCCAGAGCUCAAGAACCACAAAAAUUUCAAUUUUUUUUAAAUAAAUCUGCUACAAAUUGAUUAGGUUAAUUACACUCAUUGGAUAAGUCAAGGCAUCACACUAUAACCCUUUGGAAAAGGGGCCUCAGCGCUGAUGGACAUCUGUGACAUAUGGGCAAUAUAGGGGAACUCUCCUCCUGCAGCUGCUUUUUGUACAAUGGGCGUGGAAAGUGCUUGCAGACAUAUCUCUAAUAGAUGCUUCUGGGAAGAAGCUUGCUUUCCUGUUUUUAAAAGGGGAAGCUUUACAAAAAAUAAUAAAUGUAUUUCUGAAAGCUAAAAAAGAGGAUCCAGCCUGCAGGCGUGGUAUUUCUCCUGUGCCAGGACAAAGUACUCUGCAGUCGCUCAUCAGAGAAGCUGUGACACAGCGUUGCCGUCAGGUGGGGAAAGACCGUCCUCCUUUGGCCCCUGAGGAGGGAGGCUGAGCGGGUUCAAAACCUCCAGGGAUGGAGACGGCACAACCUCGCUGGCCCUGGCCCCACCACUGGCUCCUUUCCAUGCACCUUGUCACAGCACCUGCCGGUAAGAAAAUAAAAACAUAUUGGCUGGAAUAAGGAAGAGAGGAAUUAAUUAAAUAUAUUUCAAUCAGCAGGGACUAUUACAGCGGUCACAGGUGUGACAGCGGUGACAGUGACACCAGGAACAGCAGUCUGGUUCCAGUCGCUAUUUUUAUUAACGACCUGGAUGCUGGACUGUGGCAUGUGCUUUUGACCUGGGCAGAUGAUGUGAAGCUGGGAGAUGACAUGAAGCUGGGAGUCGUGCCCUGGAGGACAGGAGUAGAACUCAAAAUGAUCUUGACAAACUGGAAAAGUGAUUUGGAAAAUAAAAGAGGUUAUGCUGGAAAAGGACAAGCAUAAACAUGUGUUUGUACAUCCC